UUUUCAUUUUAGUCUGCAUCUCUCUGUUUCCAUGUGCUCACAUGGCUCACAGGCUCUCCCCGUGCUUGGCUGACAUGGAGGUGUGCAGACUGAAAUGAGGGCAAUCCUUAUUAUCGUUAGCAAAGUGCCAACUUCUUUUGUAAAGCCCAGGGGUGGAUGCAAAUCUCCUUUAGGCAGCUCCAGUGUGCCAUUGUGGCAGGACAGACAGGAAGUCUAUAUUACCGUGUGGUGGCCCCCCAAAGGCUCCCGCCAAUUUCCUCAUAUAAAACUGCGAACAGCUACAUCCAGCAAACAAGCUCAGACACACAGACAGUACCUGUUCUUCUGUACUGUCUGCCCAGCAUGAAAUGGCAGAGAACAUCAGUUAACAAGUGGCUGGUGAAGUCCACCAUCUAUAGCAAAACAAGAAGAGAGAGCAAACUAGAGCUAAAAACUGAGCGAUUGUUAGAUGAACAUUUGUCAGGUGGACAGAAAAAGAACUCAAUUUGUUGUCCAUGACAACAAGAAGCUUUUCUUUACUAACACAUAAAUGAAAGAUAGCUUCUUGAAGAUGUUUGUUCUGUAAAGUUUGGCGGCUGUAGUUGCCCAUAAAAUAUAUUUUGUAACGUUAAUAAAGUUCUAAUGUUUUACUGCCACAAUUUAUUUGAUUGAUUUCUAAU